AUGCCGUCGUGUUGCCCUGCCGAAUCUACCAAGCCGGCCUUCAUCGGGAUCUUCGGCGCCAUCGUCGGCGGAUUCGCCGUCUCUGCCGUUUUCUUCCUCCUUUCUUUCUCCUCUAUCACCGCCCCCGCGCUCCCCUUCCCGGUCGUCGUCACCACCACCACCAACCUCUCUGCUCUCUCCACCACCGCCCAGCCGGAGACCAUGUACAACCGCCCUAUCUGGAGACCCCCGGCUCGGGGGUCGCGGAUGCCUUCGCCGCGCGCGUUCCGCCUCACCCGCGACAUGGUGCGCGCCCGCGCCCGCGACGGGGUCAUCGUCGUCACCUUUGGCAACUACGCCUUCAUGGACUUUAUCCUCACCUGGGUGCGCCACCUCACAGGCCUCGGGGUAGACAAUCUCCUUGUCGGCGCCAUGGACACCAAGUUACUCCGGCAACUCUACCUCACGGGCGUGCCCGUCUUCGACAUGGGCAGCAGGAUGGUCACGGAGGAUGUUGGCUGGGGGUCCCCCACCUUCCACAAGAUGGGCAGGGAGAAGGUGCUGCUCAUCAACGAGCUCCUGCCCUUCGGGUACGAACUGCUCAUGUGCGACACGGACAUGGUGUGGCUCAAGAACCCGUUGCCAUAUCUCGCCCGCUACCCCAGUGCGGAUCUCCUCACCUCCAGCGACCAGGUCAUACCCACAGUCACCGACGACAGCCUGGAGAACUGGAGGGAAGUAACUGGGGCAUAUAAUAUUGGUAUUUUCCAUUGGCGACCCACUGAACCUGCUAAAAGGCUGGCAAAAGAUUGGAAAGACCUUGUCAUAUCUGAUGAUAAGAUAUGGGACCAGAAUGCUUUUAAUGAUCUCGUACACAAAGUUUUUGGACAACCUGUUCAAGGAGAAGAUGAACUUGUCUACUCAUAUGAUGGAAAAUUGAAGCUUGGAGUCCUACCAGCAAGUAUAUUCUGCAGCGGCCAUACCUACUUUGUGCAGGGCAUGCAUCAGCAGCUUCGGCUAGAACCAUAUGCCGUGCACACUACUUUCCAGUAUGCAGGUACUGAAGGAAAGCGCCACAGAUUACGGGAGGCAAUGCAUUUCUUUGAUCAACCAUCUUAUUAUGACUCACCAGGAGGUUUCCUAUCAUUUAGGCCUAAUAUUCCCAAACAAAUGCUGUUAGAUGGUGCCCAUACCAUUGAAUCUCAUUUUGUGUUGGUCAAUUACCAGAUGAAGCAAAUAAGAACGGCAUUGGCUAUGGCUUCCUUGUUAAAGCGGACCCUGGUAAUGCCUCCAUUAUGGUGCAGGCUUGAUAGGAUGUGGUUUGGGCAUCCUGGAGUUAUGGAAGGCACAAUGACUAGACAACCUUUUCUCUGUCCAAUGGAUCAUGUAUUUGAGGUACAUGUUAUGCUGAAGGACUUGCCUGAGGAGGAAUUUGGGCCACGUAUUGAUUUCAGAGAAUAUACAUUUCUUGAGAAUCCAUCAUUGCCUAAACAGGUGAAAGAGUCGUUUCUUGAGGUGCGGCUCUGCAAUGAGCAUAGCACCAGAUGCUCCACAGCCAAUGGAUCCAAUAAACACAGAGCCAUUCUAUUGCCAAGGAAUAGCACCGAACAAAUGCUUUUGGAUGUCUUUUCAUCGUAUAAGAAUAUCAAGAUCAUACAUUUCUCGUCUAUGGUUGAUGCCUUCAGAGGUUUUGCUGAUGCGGCUGUGGAGACGCAGUUUCGGAAUCGUGUGAAGAGGUAUACAGGCAUAUGGUGUUGUGUCGAGUUCCGUGAAAUUGGGCACAUAUACUAUGACAUGUACUGGGAUGAUAAACCAGGUUGGAAGCCACACCCCCCACAGAAUAGGGAAGAGGACCAUCCACCCUGGGCCUGA
rnacentral:rRNA from 1 species